rnacentral:rRNA from 1 species
UACAGAGGUCCCGAGCGUUGUUCGGAUUCACUGGGCGUAAAGGGUGCGCAGGUGGGUUGGCAAGUUCGAUGUGAAAGCCCCGGGCUUAACCCGGGAAUGGCAUUGGAAACUGCUGAUCUGGAGGAUCGGAGGGGGGACUGGAAUUCUUGGUGUAGCAGUGAAAUGCGUAGAUAUCAAGAGGAACACCAGUGGCGAAGGCGAGUCCCUGGACGAUACCUGACACUGAGGCACGAAAGCCAAGGGAGCAAACAGG